UAGCACAGAGAGUUUGCUCGUCGGGUGACGAGUGGCGGACGGUGAGUAAUGUCUGGGGAUCUGCCCGAUAGGAGGGGAGUAACCACUAGGAAACGGUGGCUAAUACCGCAUAACGUCGCAAGACCAAGAGGGACCGUUCGGCCUCUCACUAUCGGAUGAACCCAGAUGGGAUUAGCUAGUAGGCGGGGUAAUGGCCCACCUAGGCGACGAUCCCUAGCUGGUCUGAGAGGAUGACCAGCCACACUGGAACUGAGACACGGUCCAGACUCC
rnacentral:rRNA from 1 species